rnacentral:rRNA from 1 species
GAUGAACGCUGGCGGCAUGCUUUACACAUGCAAGUCGGACGGGAAGUGGUGUUUCCAGUGGCGGACGGGUGGGUAACGCGUAAGAACCUGCCCUUGGGAGGGGAACAACAGCUGGAAACGGCUGCUAAUACCCCGUAGGCUGAGGAGCGAAAGGAGGAAUCCGCCCAAGGAGGGGCUCGCGUCUGAUUAGCUAGUUGGUGAGGUAAUAGCUUACCAAGGCCGUGAUCAGUAGCUGGUCCGAGAGGAUGAUCAGCCACACUGGGACUGAGACAAGGCCCAGACUCCUACGGGAGGCAGCAGUGGGGAAUGUUCCGCAAUGGGCGAAAGCCUGACGGAGCAAUGCCGCGUGGAGGUAAAAGGCCUACGGGUCAUGAACUUCUUUUCCUGGAGAAGAAACAAUGACGGUAUCUGGGGAAUAAGCAUCGGCUAACUCUGUG